rnacentral:lncRNA from 1 species
AAAAGUCAAAGUGACAGUCACUUGUGUAAUGGCCACCUUUAUAUAUGGAACCUACGGGUAAUUACGGAGCAGACUAUAUGUCAGCCAUAGACGGGGCCGACUUGUGUCGGACAUAGACGGAGCCGAUUUCCAUAGUCGGACAUAGACGGAGCUGGCCAGACACACAUAAAUCCUUUGAGGAUAUAUGUGGAAACACGGGCAUUAUACAGUGAACUGUUCACAAUAGAAAAAGAAAAAGAAAUAGAGAUGCAUGCAUGCAUAGAUACAAGCUCAUACAUUCGUUGCAUACAUGAUUAACAAAAGUAAGUGAUUUAUGAUUAACUAAAGCAUAUAUGUGAUGAUUCUAUAUUUUCGUGUAAUUUGAGAUGAUGAUAAUAUUAUGAAUGAAAGAAAUAUUUGUUCUCAUAAAUACGAGCAGGAAAUAUAUAUUAAAAUGAAUAUUUCUUACAAUUGUUUCAAAAGAACCUUACUUUCUUUUGUUUUCUGGAAAAUUUUACAAAGACGUUAUAAGUUAUUUUCAACAAUCUAUGUAUCUUUUUCAAAGUAAAGUUGAUGUAUAUUCAUUGAGUUGCGACUCAUGGAAAUCGCUCAUUUUUCCAGGAUAUGAAUAGUUAGUAGUGUGUUUUGUAUGAGUGCUCAGUGGAGAUUGUAGAUAGUGCCUAAGAGACGGUGGUCCAGCAGGAUGCUCCAGACUCCUCCAUCAGCCGAUGCACAUAUAUGUAGUUUGAGAGAUUGUGUUUAUGUACUCUAGACUUAUCAAGUGUGCAAGAAAUCACGAAGAUAAAUUUAUGUUUAAAUUCUGAAUAUGUGUGGUGAAUAUGGAUGAUGGAAAUGUAUUGAAAUUUUAUGUUGCUUGGUAAAUGUUGUUGAAGUAGUUGAGAUUUUAUGUUCUGGUGAAGAUCAAGAUAUAGCCAAGCAAUAGCUGAUGGUUAUAUUAUCCACUUAUACAGGAAAAGAUAUUUCAUAAUAUUAUUAAAUUACAUGAUUUUGCUAGAAUUGCAUGAAAAUGAUUAUAUGGUACAAUGGUGUUACAUUUAGUUGGUAUCAGAGCAGGGAUAUGACCUCUAGGGCAUAGAAGUACGGUUAGGAUUUUUGAGUGAUAUAGGAUCUAAGAUAUGUUUAUAUGUGCAGAAGGCGAUGGAAGGAGCAUCCAAUGAACAGGCUGCACAAAGAAGUCCAGCUGACCACCAACCAUCUGGUAGUGGAUCACAUACUCCACAUGAGUCUAGACACGAGGAGUCUAUACCUAUUCCACAAGAAUCUAGGCAUGAGGCCACUGUAGAAGUAGAAAGACAAGUACCUGAGCAGCAAGCUAUGUCAGAACCCCAAGUUGUACGUAGGAAUGCACCAGUUAAACGGAAUUAUAAAGAACUUAGGAAAUUAGGGGCGACUGAUUUCUAUGGUACUGUAGAUCCAACUGAAGCUGAGUCAUGGUUAAAAAGGACAAAGAGAGUGUUUAAUAUGAUGCAUUGCGGAGACGAAGAGAAGUUUGAUUAUGCAGUAUCCUUACUCCAAGAUGAUGCUUAUGACUGGUGGGAGACUGUUCCUGACUCAGAUGCUCAACCACCAAAACUUACUUGGGAUGAUUUUCAGCGAGAGUUUAAAGAUAAGUAUAUGCCAGAGAUCUAUAGGGAUGAGAAACAAAGAGAGUUCUUGAAUUUGAAGCAAGGAAAUAUGACGGUAGCUGAGUACGAAGUCAAGUUCACCCAAUUGUCCCGAUAUGCCUCGUCAAUGGUGGCAACUGAGAGGGACAAAUGUAGACGUUUUGAGGAAGGUCUCAAGUAUGAGAUCAGGAGUAAAAUUACUAUUGGAGAACUUAGGUGUUAUACAGAUUUGAGGGCUGCAGCGAUUCGAGCUGAACGCUUGAUUAAAGAGAAGCCUGCUUUCUUCUCAAAGUCAAAGAGAGAAGAAACAAGAUUUGCUGGAGAGUCUGGUGGAAGGCCUAAGAAGCGUCCAAAUGUUAGUGCACCCACUAAAUCUAUUACAAGAGGAGGUUUUUCUGGUGCUCAAGGUGGGAGAUUGAAUAACCCUCGAUCAAAUCCAACUCUUAGCCGAGGUUCAAAUGUACAGGUGAAGCCUACAUGUCAAACUUGCGGAAGGCAACAUUUUGGGCAAUGUAGAGCUCAAACGGGAGGAUGUUAUUUGUGUGGGGAACAAGGCCAUUUCAUUAGAGACUGUCCCAACAAAAGGGAAAAUGUACAGGCUGUAUCUGAACCAAGUGUUCAGAAUGUAGAAGUGAAAGGAGUUGGUACAUCUUUUGGAAGAGGUAGAGGCAAGAAGGGUACAGGUAGCACUGGGGGAGGCAUUGGAAGAUCACAGGCUCAAAGUUCAAAUCCACCAACCCAGGCACGAGUUUUUGCAUUAACGAGAGGAGAGGCAGAAGUUGCACCUGAGGUUAUAACGGGUAAAGUUCUCUUAUAUCAAUUAGAUGCGUAUGCUCUUAUCGACCCUGGUUCAACACAUUCAUUCAUACCAUCUAAAAUGACAUCUCACUUACAUAGAAGUCAUGAAAUACUAGAUCUCAAAGUAAAUGUUCAUACACCACUAGGAGAAGUGGAAGUAGUAGUUCAAAUAUAUAGAGACUGUCCUAUCGAAAUAGGAAAUACGGAAUUAAAAGCAGACUUGAUAGUAUUGCCUUUUCAAGAGUUUGAUAUCAUACUAGGCAUGGAUUGGUUGACAAGACAUCAUGCUAAAGUUGAUUGUUACGCUAAAGAAGUUACGAUCGAGUCACCAGGACAAGGGAGAGUCGUAUUUCAAGGAGAAUGUAGGAUGAUAUUUAGUUGUUUAAUUUCGGCUAUGAGUGCUUUUAAGAUGAUUAGAAAGGGCUGUGAAGCGUAUUUAGCACACGUGGUAGACCCGAACACUAACUCAACUAAACUUGAGACUAUUCCAAUAGUUCGAGAAUUCCCAGAUGUGUUUCCAGAUGAUUUGCCAGGAAUGCCGCCGGAUAGAGACAUAGAGUUUAGUAUUGAGACAGUUCCUGGUAGUACCCCUAUUUCUAUUCCUCCUUACCGAAUGGCACCCGUAGAGUUAAAAGAGUUAAAGAAGCAGUUGAUAGAAUUAUUGGAAAAAGGUUUUAUCCGCCCAAGUGUUUCACCAUGGGGAGCGCCAGUAUUAUUUGUCAAAAAGAAGGAUGGAACUAUGAGGCUAUGUAUCGAUUAUCGAAAAUUAAAUCAAGUCACGGUUAAGAACAAAUAUCCAUUACCAAGAAUAGAUGACUUAUUUGAUCAAUUACAAGGGGCUCAAGUGUUUUCAAAGAUUGAUUUGAGAUCAGGAUAUCAUCAAUUGAAGAUUGCCAAGGAAGAUAUCCCAAAAACUGCUUUCCGAACUAGAUAUGGUCACUUUGAAUUUCUAGUUAUGCCGUUUGGGUUAACAAAUGCUCCAGCUGUGUUUAUGGCACUUAUGAACAAGGUGUUUCAACCUUUUCUGGAUAAAUUUGUUAUAGUAUUCAUCGAUGACAUAUUGGUAUAUUCAAAGAGUAAAUCUGAGCAUGAAGAGCAUUUAAGAACAGCUUUACAAAUCUUAAGAGAAAACCAAUUAUAUGCUAAGCUGAGUAAAUGUGAGUUUUGGUUGGACCAUGUCGUAUUCCUAGGACAUGUUAUUUCUAGUAAAGGAAUUGAAGUGGACCCAAAGAAAAUAGAGGCUAAAUGGAAUUGGGAAGUACCCAAGAAUGUUACAGAAGUGAGGAGUUUCUUAGGAAUGGCUGGUUAUUACAGACGUUUUGUUGAAGGAUUUUCUAAGAUUGCCGGACCAAUGACCAAAUUACUCAGAAAGAAUGUUCCUUUUCAAUGGACUGAAGAAGCUCAACAAAGUUUUGAUGAAUUAAAGCGAAGAUUGACAUCCGCUCCAGUGUUGACUACACCAUCAGGACAAGGUGGUUUUGUAGUAUAUAGUGAUGCGUCACAACAAGGCUUAGGGUGUGUCCUUAUGCAACAUGAAAAAGUUAUAGUUUAUGCUUCAAGACAGCUCAGACCGCAUGAAAAGUCAUAUCAUGUACAUGAUCUAGAAUUGGCAGCAAUUGUUUUUGCAUUGAAAAUUUGGAGGCAUUACUUAUACGGGGAGACAUUUCAGAUUUUUACAGACCAUAAGAGUCUAAAGUAUUUAAUGAGUCAGAAAGAGUUGAAUAUGAGACAGAGAAGAUGGGUGGAACUUUUAAAGGAUUAUGAUUGUACGUUAGAAUAUCACCCAGGAAAGGCCAAUAUAGUGGCAGACGCUUUAAGUCGGAAAUGUAGUAGCGUAGCAAAUCUUCAAGGAUCGACGUUCCCAUCUUUAGUUGAAUUAAGAAAGAUGAAUAUUGGGUUAGAGGUUGACACCUGUGGAGUUUUAUUGGCUACACUAAAUAUCCGACCGGUGUUGAAGGAAAGGAUCCAGAAGGCACAAAUAAAUGAUCCUAAAUUAAGAGACGCAGUCGAGAGAGUAAGACAAGGUCAAGAAACUCAGUUCACGUUAUAUGAGGAUACUUUAAUGUUAGGAAACAGAAUUUGUGUUCCAAAUGACGAAGACUUAAGACGAGAAAUUCUAGAUGAAGCUCAUAAUGCUCCAUAUGCCAUGCAUCCCGGAGCAACAAAAAUGUAUAAUACGAUGAAAUCUCAUUAUUGGUGGUCUGGAAUGAAAAGAGAUGUGGCAGAGUUUACAGCCAAAUGUUUAACGUGUCAACAAGUGAAAGUGGAACAUCAAGCUCCAGCUGGGAAGUUACAUCCGUUGUCGAUUCCUGAGUGGAAGUGGGAAAAGAUCACUAUGGAUUUUGUAACAAAUUUACCCAAGACAAGGAAGGGAAAUGAUGCAAUAUGGAUCAUUGUUGAUCGACUUACCAAAUCAGCUCAUUUUCUACCAAUACGUUGGGGUUGCACACUAGAUCAUUUAGCUCAAAGGUAUGUGAAUGAGAUUGUACGAUUACAUGGAGUACCAAUAUCCAUUGUUUCAGAUAGAGAUCCAAGAUUUACUUCUAGAUUUUGGAAAAGUUUACAAGAAGCAAUGGGUACAAGAUUGAAUUUUAGUACAGCCUUUCAUCCUCAGACUGAUGGGCAAUCUGAAAGAACCAUUCAAACGUUAGAGGAAAUGUUAAGAGCGUGUGUGAUUGAGUUUAAAGGUUCAUGGGAUGAAUAUAUUGCUUUGAUGGAAUUCGCCUACAACAAUCAUUUCCAUAGCAGUAUUGGAAUGGCACCUUAUGAAGCCUUGUAUGGACGGAAGUGCAGAAGUCCCUUGUACUGGGAUAAAGAAGGUACUAUCAUUUUAGAAGGGCCAGAACUUGUCCAGAAUGCAGUAGAUAAGGUAAACAUUGUAAAAGCAAAGCUGAAGGCUACCCAAGAUCGACAGAAAAGUUAUGUGGACCAAAAUAGAAGAGAGAUGGAAUAUCAAGUAGGUGAUAAAGUAUUUCUGAAAGUAUCGCCAUGGAAAGGGGUGAUGAGAUUCAGCAAUAAAGGGAAGUUGAGUCCUAGGUAUAUUGGACCAUAUGAAAUAAUUGAGAAGAUAGGACCACUUGCCUAUAGAUUAGCAUUGCCCCCAGAACUUUCUCAAAUCCAUGAUGUAUUUCAUGUAAGCAUGUUACGAAGAUAUAGGUCAGAUCCUACACACGUUUUGAAGGACCCCGGGAUAGAAAUCAAUGACAAUUUGAGUUACAUUGAAGAACCUGUCAAGAUAAUAGGGCACAAGACCAAACAACUGAGGAAUAGAGAAAUACCGCUAGUCAAAGUACUAUGGAGAAACCACGCAGUGGAAGAAGCCACAUGGGAGACAGAGGAGCAUAUGAGAAGCAAGUACCCUCACCUAUUCGACAAUCCAGGUACAUUUUUGAAUUUUGAGGACAAAAUUCUUUAAAGGGGGGAAGAGUUGUCACACCCUGGUCCCAAACAAAUGCUUAUAUAAUACUUUUGAAUGUAUUAAAAUAGUUUUCGGGAUUUUUAGAUUUAACAAAAAUAUUUUGUUUUAGGAUUUAUAAGGAAUUUGCGAAUAGUAAGGUGACCCUAUAAAGGAGAAAGGACAUGAAGGGGUAAAAAUAAAAGUCUCAGAAUAAUUUUUAGAUAUUUUAUAAAUUACCAGAGCGGAGAAAUAGUGAACAGAAGUACGGUCAGAAUUGUAUGAUUUUGCACCGAACUGUGAUUAUAAAAUCCAGUUAUUAGAAAAUAGGUGAAAAUAGAAAAGACACAAAAUGAGCCAAGAAUUUUCCUAGAGUAUCUAAAUAAAUUGUGGAACUCAUUUAUGAAUUUUCGGAAAUUUUACGAAGCUCAAGGAAGUUAAAAUGAAAAGGAAUAAAGGAGCCGGAUACCCAAGAUUUCCGGACUGCAAAAUGACCUUUAAACUAAACCAGCGGAAUUUCGGAAGGAAUACUGAAGAGAAGGUUAGUACGUUUAUGAUCUUUGGAGUCUCUAGAACAUUCCUAUAUUGAGUUUGAAGAAAAAUCUCGAGAUUAAGAGUGAACAGGGAUCAGUGGAAAAAUAUCAGACCGAUACAUCCCUAAGAAAAAGUGAAAUAUUUUCGGACUCCAAAUGAGCUCAUUUUACAGUCAAAAAUUCCCAAAUAAUAUAUUAGGAAUUAUUAUAUCGUUGGAAUUCGUCAACGAGAUCAAGAAUAGUGAGAUUUAAUUUAAGAUUUCAAGAAAAUGAUUAGAUUAAAAUGAAUAAGCCUUAAAUGAAUCCAUGAAGUCUCUGGACAUACCGUUGGCAAAUUAAAUGUUGCCACGUGUCAAGCAAGCAUUUCACCGCCUGAAUAACUAGAUAAACAUUCAGUUAACAUAAUGAAAAUUGUAGAGUUCAUCCAUUUUAAUGAAGAAAUUCGAAGUGGAAGAACUAUAAAACAGGGAGGAGAAGAAAAUUCAUAGAAAAAGAUUCCUAGCUCGGAUUUUGACGUUCUAUAGCUUGUUUCGAAGAGCUUGACAAGGGCUGCGAUUUGAGUGGUAAGGUUCUUGAUUUCCUCUGCAAUAACAUGUUCAUAAAUGGCUUCGAUUAUAGCUUGUUUAUACUUACAUAAUUCUAUAAGUAUUAAGUUAGCUACAUGAUGGGUUUGUUGUGGAAGCUUGUAAGAUGAAAGUUCUUGACUUGUGUAUGGAACAACAAGGCUGGGUAUAUAGAGUAUGAUGAUAUUAAGUUGAUAUAAUUGCUUGGGUAAGCCUAUAACAUGAGUUUAACCACGGAAACGUUAAGAUUAUAGCCGUUAUGCUGGCCGAUUUACAAGAGACAGCUACUGUUACUGUUCACCUGUGAGUCUUCACUUCGAAUUUAUGAAGUUACUUUAUAUGGUUGGAUAGAUCUUGAUUAGUAGAUCGCGUGAGCGCUUGAAUCAUGCAAAACGGAUUUACGGUUUAGAAAUUAUGGCCAUUUUAGUACAGGACGCGCAGAAUCUUAGUUUCCGUAAGAAAAUGAACUUUGAGGUUACAAUUCGGUUAGUUCAAAGAUGAUAUAAAUCAUGGAAUAAUUUGAGUAAAUACUAGGGACAAAUUGGGAGGUAUAUGAGUUGGUUUCGUGAUAAAAACUCGAAUGGUUUAUAAGUGAAAAAUGUCGGAACCUAAAGAUGUAAAUAGUAACAAUACGUGAGACGAGAAACAGUUAGUACCAGAUCUCUUUAAAAUGAAAGGAUUAACAAUAAGAGUAAUUAGAAGGGACUUUAAGGGUAGGUAACACAUACACAAACUAUGAUAUAGAGUUAUAAAGGAUCUUAAUGAUUAAUUAUGUCCUUUAUAGGUGCACAGAAAGGUGCAGAAGGACCUUAAGGACAGGAAGUUGUGAUUGAGUUGCUGAAGUAAGGUGAGUAUACAUCAACACUACUUAUAUCUAUGUGAUAUGUGAAUUACGUGCUUUUAUAUGCUGAAAGUGAUAUAUUAGAAUAUUGAUUUGACUAUGUGAUUCUAUACAUGACUGAAGUUCUUUGAUGUCAACGUAGUGUGAUGAUAUAUCAAAGUACAUGUAUAUAUGGAAUGUGUAUUGACCUGUGAUUUCACGAACGAUACAUUAACAUAGAGUCUGCAUAUAGAACAGGUCAUAUGCACACCCUACAUUCAUUUGAUAGUGAUAAAUUAAAAAGUCAAAGUGACAGUCACUUGUGUAAUGGCCACCUUUAUAUAUGGAACCUACGGGUAAUUACGGAGCAGACUAUAUGUCAGCCAUAGACGGGGCCGACUUGUGUCGGACAUAGACGGAGCCGAUUUCCAUAGUCGGACAUAGACGGAGCUGGCCAGACACACAUGGAUCCUUUGAGGACAUGUGGAAACACGGGCAUUAUACAGUGAACUGUGCACAAUAGCCAAAGAAAGAGAAACAGAGAUGCAUGCAUGCAUAGAUACAAGUUCUUACUUUCAUGGCAUAUAUGAUUAACAUAUGUCAGUGCUUUAUGAAUAAGUAAAACAUAUAUGUGAUGAUGUUAUACCUUGGUGUAAUUUGGAUGAUGAUAAUAUUAUGAAUGAAAGAUAUUAAUUGCUCUCAUAAAUACGAACAGGAAAUAUAUAUUAAAAUGAAUAUUUUCUUACAAUUGUUUCGAGAACCUUACUUUCUUUUAUUUUCUGGAAGAUUUUACAAAGACGCUACAAGUUAUUUUCGGACAAUCUCAGUAUCUUUUACAAACUAAAGUUGAUGUAUAUUCAUUGAGUUGCGACUCAUGGAAAUCGCUCAAUUUUUCCAGGAUAUGAAUAGUUAGUAGUGUGUUUUAUAUGAGUGCUCAGUGGAGAUUGUAGAUAGUGCCUAAGAGACGGUGGUCCAGCAGGAUGCUCCAGACUCCUCCAUCAGCCGAUGCACAUAUAUGUAGUUUGAGAGAUUGUGUUUAUGUACUCUAGACUUAUCAAGUGUGCAAGAAAUCACGAAGAUAAAUUUAUGUUUAAAUUCUGAAUAUGUGUGGUGAAUAUGGAUGAUGGAAAUGUAUUGAAAUUUUAUGUUGCUUGGUAAAUGUUGUUGAAGUAGUUGAGAUUUUAUGUUCUGGUGAAGAUCAAGAUAUAGCCAAGCAAUAGUUGAUGGUUAUAUUAUCC